UAUCUCCUCUUCCUUUUUCUAUCAGAUCUGAACACUGGUCUUGGUAGUCAUAAAAGUAGGAACAGAAAUACUGAAAAUGUCUUCAAAGGGCUCAAAGUCUGCCAUGUUGCACAUAGCCUAGUUUCAAACAAGU